GAUGAAGAACGUAGCGAAAUGCGAUAAGUAAUGUGAAUUGCAGAAUUCAGUGAAUCAUCGAAUCUUUGAACGCACAUUGCGCCCCUUGGUAUUCCGAGGGGCAUGCCUGUUCGAGCGUCAUAUUAACCACUCCCGCUUGCUGGGUCUUGGGCUUCGCCUCCGGGCGGGCCUUAAAAUCAGUGGCGGUGCCGUCGGGCUCUACGCGUAGUAAAUUUUCUCGCGAUAGGGUCCCGGUGGAUGCUUGCCAACAACCCCCAACUUCUUAAGGUUGACCUCGGAUCAGGUAGGGAUACCCGCUGAACUUAAGCAUAUCAAUAAGCGGAGGA
rnacentral:misc_RNA from 1 species